UAGUUCUUCAGGAGAGAUGGCUCUUGCA
rnacentral:piRNA from 1 species